CAGAUAAAUACACACAAAGAUACACACACUGGCACAUACAAACACAGAUGCACCUUGACAAACACCGGCACAGAUAUACAAACAUACACACUGUGUGUAUGUUUGUGUCAGUGUGUAUGCCUGUGUGUGUAUAUCUGUGUGUCAGAUACAUACACACACUGGCAGAUACACACACCGGCACAUACACACACCGGCACAUACAAACACAGAUACACACUGUGUGCCAGUGUGUGCGUAACUGUGUGUCAGAUUCAUACAUACUGGCACAUACAAACACAGAUACACUUACCUUGAC